AGUGAACGCUGGCGGUAGGCCUAACACAUGCAAGUCGAACGGCAGCACAGUAAGAGCUUGCUCUUACGGGUGGCGAGUGGCGGACGGGUGCGGAAUACAUCGGAAUCUACUUUUUCGUGGGGGCUAACGUAGGGACACUUACGCUAAUACCGCAUACGACCUACGGGUGAAAGCAGGGGAUCUUCGGACCUUGCGCGAUUGUAUGAGCCGAUGUCGGAUUAGCUAGUUGGCGGGGUAAAGGCCCACCAAGGCGACGAUCCGUAGCUGGUCUGAGAGGAUGAUCAGCCACACUGGAACUGAGACACGGUCCAGACUCCUACGGGAGGCAGCAGUGGGGAAUAUUGGACAAUGGGCGAAAGCCUGAUCCAGCCAUACCGCGUGGGUGAAGAAGGCCUUCGGAUUGUAAAGCACUUUUGUUGGGAAAGAAAAGCAGCAGGUUAAUACCCCGCUGUUCUGACGGUACCCAAAGAAUAAGCACCGGCUAACUUCGUG
rnacentral:rRNA from 1 species